CGGUUUAAUUGGAUUCAACGCCGGAAUCUCACCGGGGCGACAGCAAUAUGAAGGUCAGGCUGAAGACCUUACCCGAUUAGCUGAGAGGUGGUGCAUGGCCGUCGUCAGUUCGUACUGUGAAGCAUCCUGUUAAGUCAGGCAACGAGCGAGACCCACGUCCACAGUUGCCAGCAUACCCUCCGGGGUGAUGGGUACACUGUGGAGACCGCCGCUGCUAAAGCGGAGGAAGGAGUGGGCAACGGUAGGUCAGUAUGCCCCGAAUCUCCCGGGCUACACGCGGGCUACAAUGGUUGGUACAAUGGGCAUCUACCCCGAAAGGGGAAGGAAAUCUCUUAAAGCCAAUCGUAGUUCGGAUUGAGGGCUGCAACUCGCCCUCAUGAAGCUGGAAUCCGUAGUAAUCGCGUUUCAACAGAACGCGGUGAAUACGUCCCUGCUCCUU
rnacentral:rRNA from 1 species